AACGGUCUAUACCUGCGGUACCUGCGGAAGGAUCAUUAGUGAACGCCCUCGCGGGCUUAUAACUAUUCCAAACCUCUGUGAACCGUGCCCUUCGGGGCUAUUUUACAAACAUGGUGUAAUGAACGUCAUAUAUCAUAACAAAACAAAACUUUCAACAAUGGAUCUCU
rnacentral:misc_RNA from 1 species